rnacentral:rRNA from 1 species
GAUGAACGCUGGCGGCGUGCUUAACACAUGCAAGUCGAACGGUGAACACGGAGCUUGCUCUGUGGGAUCAGUGGCGAACGGGUGAGUAACACGUGAGCAACCUGCCCCUGACUCUGGGAUAAGCGCUGGAAACGGCGUCUAAUACUGGAUAUGUGACGUGACCGCAUGGUCUGCGUUUGGAAAGAUUUUUCGGUUGGGGAUGGGCUCGCGGCCUAUCAGCUUGUUGGUGAGGUAAUGGCUCACCAAGGCGUCGACGGGUAGCCGGCCUGAGAGGGUGACCGGCCACACUGGGACUGAGACACGGCCCAGACUCCUACGGGAGGCAGCAGUGGGGAAUAUUGCACAAUGGGAGCAAGCCUGAUGCAGCAACGCCGCGUGAGGGAUGACGGCCUUCGGGUUGUAAACCUCUUUUAGCAGGGAAGAAGCGAAAGUGACGGUACCUGCAGAAAAAGCGCCGGCUAACUACGUG